GAUGAACGCUGGCGGCGUGCCUAAUACAUGCAAGUCGAGCGAACGGAUGAGAAGCUUGCUCCUCUGAUGUUAGCGGCGGACGGGUGAGUAACACGUGGAUAACCUACCUAUAAGACUGGGAUAACUUCGGGAAACCGGAGCUAAUACCGGAUAAUAUUUUGAACCGCAUGGUUCAAUAGUGAAAGACGGUCUUGCUGUCACUUAUAGAUGGAUCCGCGCUGCAUUAGCUAGUUGGUAAGGUAACGGCUUACCAAGGCAACGAUGCAUAGCCGACCUGAGAGGGUGAUCGGCCACACUGGAACUGAGACACGGUCCAGACUCCUACGGGAGGCAGCAGUAGGGAAUCUUCCGCAAUGGGCGAAAGCCUGACGGAGCAACGCCGCGUGAGUGAUGAAGGUCUUCGGAUCGUAAAACUCUGUUAUUAGGGAAGAACAUAUGUGUAAGUAACUGUGCACAUCUUGACGGUACCUAAUCAGAAAGCCACGGCUAACUACGUG
rnacentral:rRNA from 1 species